UGAUUAUUAAUUUAUUAUUUUCCCCUUUUCCUUUCAUUUGAACAUCCAGAGAAGCAAAUUGGGCCCUGUACUUCCGGGAGGAACGACCGGGCUUGAACCCGCGACCUCGCGUUCCCGAGUCCUGCUCGCGCCCCCUUUUUCCUCUCCUCCCCCGCGAGCCCCUCCUUUCUCUACAGAGAAGAAUGAGCAGUGGCCUUUGCGCCUAAAACAGCGCCAUCUUCUCUGUUUCAAUUGUUUCAUUUGUUCCAAUUACACGGCCAAUCGGAGGCCGCCCUCGUUUCAAUUUCUCGAGCUUACAUGCUUUUUGCGCCCAAUCGGGAGGCCCGCUUGUUUCAAUUUCGUCACGUGGUAUCGACUCUCCCUUCCGCUGUUUCAAAUGGCACUUCAGGAAGUGCCGUGGAUCGCCCGAGUUCUGCGACAGGAGCUCUUUUUGGUGCUCUUGUUGCAAUUUUGCAGAGAUGAAGAGGAGGGCCGGCCGCAGCCAAAGCGGUCCUUCCUGCCUCCGAGGCCUGCCUCGCAAAGUUCUGAGGUGAGAUGGUGUAUCUUUAUUGUUUGUGUUUAACGCUGGCUUAAAAGAAGUUGACGCGAAACUAAUUGUAACACGUUCUCUUUAUUCUGCAGCUGCUGAUUCCUGAGUUGCCGUGCGGCCUUCUCGAGGGAACAGCGGGAGCGGAUUGGUCGGGCGCUGUAUGUAUUGUAUGAGAAAUGUACUGGAUCAAUAAACACGCACAGAUGAAGUGCUAAAAGCCAA